rnacentral:piRNA from 1 species
GUGAAUGAAUGGAAUGCUUACUAA